rnacentral:rRNA from 1 species
UAUACAUGCAGUCGAGCGGACAGAAGGGAGCUUGCUCCCGGAUGUUAGCGGCGGACGGGUGAGUAACACGUGGGUAACCUGCCUGUAAGACUGGGAUAACUCCGGGAAACCGGAGCUAAUACCGGAUAGUUCCUUGAACCGCAUGGUUCAAGGAUGAAAGACGGUUUCGGCUGUCACUUACAGAUGGACCCGCGGCGCAUUAGCUAGUUGGUGAGGUAACGGCUCACCAAGGCGACGAUGCGUAGCCGACCUGAGAGGGUGAUCGGCCACACUGGGACUGAGACACGGCCCAGACUCCUACGGGAGGCAGCAGUAGGGAAUCUUCCGCAAUGGACGAAAGUCUGACGGAGCAACGCCGCGUGAGUGAUGAAGGUUUUCGGAUCGUAAAGCUCUGUUGUUAGGGAAGAACAAGUGCAAGAGUAACUGCUUGCACCUUGACGGUACCUAACCAGAAAGCCACGGCUAACUACGUGCCAGCAGCCGCGGUAAUACGUAGGUGGCAAGCGUUGUCCGGAAUUAUUGGGCGUAAAGGGCUCGCAGGCGGUUUCUUAAGUCUGAUGUGAAAGCCCCCGGCUCAACCGGGGAGGGUCAUUGGAAACUGGGAAACUUGAGUGCAGAAGAGGAGAGUGGAAUUCCACGUGUAGCGGUGAAAUGCGUAGAGAUGUGGAGGAACACCAGUGGCGAAGGCGACUCUCUGGUCUGUAACUGACGCUGAGGAGCGAAAGCGUGGGGAGCGAACAGGAUUAGAU